rnacentral:rRNA from 1 species
UACGUAGGGGGCUAGCGUUGUCCGGAAUCAUUGGGCGUAAAGCGCGUGUAGGCGGUUCGGUAAGUCCGCUGUGAAAGUCGAGGGCUCAACCCUCGAAAGCCGGUGGAUACUGUCGGGCUGGAGCAAGGCAGAGGGCGGUGGAAUUCCGGGUGUAGUGGUGGAAUGCGUAGAGCUCCGGAGGAACACCAGUGGCGAAGGCGGCCGCCUGGGCCUUUGCUGACGCUGAGCCGCGAAAGCGUGGGGAGCGAGCCGG